AGGGCACCACCAGGAGUGGAGCCUGCGGCUUAAUUUGACUCAACACGGGAAAACUCACCCGGCCCGGACACCGUAAGGAUUGACGGACUGAGAGCUCUUUCUUAAUUCGGUGGGUGGUGGUGCAUGGCCGUUCUUAGUUGGUGGAGCGAUUUGUCUGGUUAAUUCCGAUAACGAACGAGACUCUGGCCUAUUAAAUAGACGGUAUAUCUAGAAAAAGUAUACCGCGCUUCUUAGAGGGACAACCGGCGUCUAGCCGCGUGAAAUAGAGCAAUAACAGGUCUGUGAUGCCCUUAGAUGUCCCGGGCUGCACGCGCGCUACACUGAAAGAAUCAGUAUGCGCCGUCGCCUAGUUCGGAAGAACCGGGUAACCCGAGCAAAUUCUUUCGUGCUUGGGAUAGGGAAUUGCAAUUAUUUCCCUUAAACGAGGAAUUCCCAGUAAAUGCGGGUCAUAAGCUCGCGUUGAUUACGUCCCUGCCCUUUGUACACACCGCCCGUCGCUACUACCGAUUGGAUGACUUA
rnacentral:rRNA from 1 species